AAGAGAACCAAAAAGGGAGAAUAAUUCAAUUUUUCAUAAUACCCCUCAUGUCUGUGAUACGGGGUUAAAAGAGUGCAGCACAAACACACAGAUAGUGUCAAUACAAACAGGACAAAACUCACCAUUUAAAGAAAACAAAACAGACAAACGCAGCGUUUGACGCAUGAUAAUUAGAAAUUAAAAAUAGUGUGAAAUAAACAGAGUUGAAACCAUGGCCUUCCAUUUUGGUCUGUAUCUGUUACUCCCUUCUCGAACAGGAUCCGUGUCCUUAAGGAUGAAAAUUAGGAUAUCGCUUCUGUAAUGCUUGUAGAUCCUCUCAUGUUGAGUCUUCAAGGUAGGUGUUGAACCAUUCAACCGCACCUUUAUUGUCGCACGAUUGCCCUUCUUAACCAUUAUUCUCUCCAAUAUUCUUGAUGGUUCUUUGUCGAGGGUACCAUCAGUCCCUACUACAGGCAGCAUAGGCGAAUGUGGUGUCUUAUCGAUGUACCUUUUGAGCUGGGAGACCUGGAACGUAGGGUGAAUUCUUAAUCCCGGUGGCAAAGUUAGUUUGUAAGCAACUGAACCCACUUUGGCUUCCACAAGGAAGGGUCCAAAGUAUUUAGGUGACAAUUUGUGAUUCUUUAGCUUCCGGAGUGAGUGUUGUCGGUAUGGCUGCAACCUAAGGUAUACCCAAUCUCUAAUUUCAAAACUCCUAUCUGACCUCUUCUUGUUGGCAAGCUGUAUCAUUCUCUCUUGAGCUCUCUUCAAAUGAAAGUGAAGAAGCCUCCUCAUAGCUUCUCUGUUUUUCUAGCUUCGAUCUACUGUAGCUACAUUAGAAGAACUAGCUAGAUACGGUAAUUUUUGGAGUGGGACUUGGCCAUAAAAGGCCUCAUAUGGAGUGGUUUGAAUCGCUGAAUGGUGUGUGGUGUUGUACCACCAUUCAGCUAAGGGUAACCAUUGCACCUACUCCUUAGGACAUUCACCAGCCAUGCAUCUUAGAUAGCCUUCUAGGCAUCGGUUCAGAACCACAGUCUAUCCAUUCGUUUGGGGAUGAUAUGCUGUCGAUAAACACAGUUUAGACCCCAACCUUCUAAAGAGUUCUUGCCAGAAAUUGCUCACAAAUAUUUUGUCCUGAUCUGACACGAUUGUCUCAGGAAUACCAUGUAGCUUAUAAACAUGUGUCAAGUAUUCUUGGGCGACAGUGAUGGCUAUGAAAGGGUGUGAGAGGGGUAUGAAAUGCCCAUACUUUGUGAGUCUAUUGACUAUCACUAAUUUGGUGUUCUUGUUGCGGGAAGUAGGUAACCCUUCUAUGAAAUCCAUGCUGAUAGCUUGCCAUACACGAGAGGAAUGGGUAGAGGCUGUAAAAGACCAGGAGAGGCUACCAAAUCUGCCUUGCACCGUUGACAAACAGGGCAUUUCCUAACCCAUUUCCUUAUAUCCUUAGCUAGAGCCUUUCAAUAUAUCUGUCUGGACAUUCUAACCUUGGUAGUGUGUGCUCUUGAGUGACCUCCCAAUGAGCUACUAUGAAAACUUUCGAAUAGCUCCCUCCUAAGGCUUUCAUCAUUCCCUACGACUGCCUUCCCUUUUCUUCUUAAUAUCUGACAAUCCCAUGAGUAAUUCGGGUGCCUCUGAGGGUUGUCUUGGAGCUCGAUGCAUAGUUGUUGUAGCUUGGAAUCAACUAAGACAGAUUUAACUCUUUUUCCCAUAAUUCUGACCAUGAAAUGCUUCAUAUACAUUGUAACGAUUGUCCCACUGAUUCUUGAGAUUUUCUGGAUAGGGCAUCAACUACCAAAUUUUGUGCACCCCUCCUGUACGUGAUGUAGUAGUCAUAUCCCAGCAUUUUGACUACCCAUUUUUGCUGGAAUGGGGUAAUAGCUUGUCUAUCUGCUAAAAACUUUAGGCUUUGGUGAUCAGUCCUAAUUUGAAACCUCUUCCCAACCAAGUACGUGUGCCAUUUCUUAACUGCCAUGAGAACUACAAGCAUUUCCAUAUCAUAGAUGGAAAGCACUUGAUGCUUCACCCCUAGUCCCUUACUGAAGAAUGCCACGGGUCUCCCUUUUUGGUGUAACACAGCCCCAACCCCUUGACCACAUGCGUCAGUAUCGAUGCAGAACUCUUCAUUAAAAUUAAGAAGAGACAACACUGGUGCUUGGCAUACAACUUGCUUUAACGAUCCAAAGGCUGCUUGCUCACUUUUGGUCCAGUUCCAUGCAGCAUCUUUCUUGAGCAAGUUGGUUAAAGGUCAUGCCAUGACCCCAUAGUUUCUUAUAAAUCUUCUGUAGUAGCCUGAAAGGCCUAGGAAGCCCCUUAAUUCUUUGAUCGAUUUGGGGGUAGGCCAAUUUGAAACUCCCUCAACUUUUGUAGCAUCCAUUAUUACCUUUCCUGCAGAUAUAACAUGCCCCAGAUAUUCUAUUUGAUGAGUGCCAAAGGUACAUUUACUUUUCUUGACAAAUAGGUGGUUGUUCCUCAAAAGUUGCAGCACCUCUCGUAAAUGCUUCAUAUGCUCGGUCCAGCUGUUGGAAUAAACUAGUAUGUCAGCAAAAAUACUAGGACCGAUCUUCUUAAUAAGUCUUUGAAGAUGGUAUUCAUCACUGCCUGGAAGGUUGAAGGGGCAUUAGUUAAGCCAAAAGGCAUAACCAAGAAUUCAUAAUGCCCUUCAUGUGUCUUGAAGGCUAUUUUGAAAAUAUCCCCCUCAUGCAUUCUAAUUUGGUGAUAGCCCGAUCUAACUUGGAGAAAAAGAGGGUCUGUCCUAGUUCAUCCAAUAAUUCUUCGAUGAUGGGUAUAGGAAACCUAUCCUUAAUGGUAAGUUGGUUCAAGUGGCAGUAAUCUACGCACAAACGCCAGCUCCCAUCCUUUUUCUUGACCAUUAUGACAGGUGAAGAAAAUGGGCUAUUACUAUCCCGUAUGAUUCCAGCUUGCAGUAUCUCUUUAAUGAGUCUCUCAAUUUCUAUCUUCUAUAAUGUAGGGUGUUUGUAGGGCCUCACAUUAAUCACCCUUGUUUCAUUGUGCAAUGGGAUUCUAUGAUCUUGUGUUUUUGCUAGAGGGAGUGUAUUUGGUGUCUUGAACACAUCAUCGUAUUCCCUUAAUAGUAGUUGCAAGUCUGCCUGGGUAAGAGCAAGUGACAUUUUCAGCAUGGUAUGCUGAUUUGUAGCCAGCAUCAUAGGACAAGGACUGAGUGGUGUCAUAUGUAAAUAUUUGGACAUUUGGUGACCCUGAAGUAUCUGUAAGCUUCCUGGUUGAAUACCUUGCAGCAUGCAACUUUGCCCCCCAUGCUCGAACCUCAUAGUGAGAGACUAAAAAUUCCAAACAAUAGCUCCUAAAGAAAGUAACCACUGUAUCCCUAGCACUAAGUCGCACCCCUUCACCGGAAGAACCAUGAAAUCGGUUACAAACUUGUAGCCUUGUGUCUACCAUUCAAUAGCUCUACAUAGCCCUCUUGUGCACAAACUUCCCCCAUUAGCGACCAUAAUCUUCAUUUGUUUAGCUGGUUCAAUAGGUAAGUUACCCCUCUUGGCGAUUUUGGAGUCCACAAAAUUGUGAGUGCUCCCAGAGUCGACCAAUAUUAUCAUAUCAAAUUGCCCAAUUUUGGCUGCUAUUCUCAUGGUGUUGUGUCCUUGGGAUCCUUGUAAGGCGUGUAAUGAGAGAACGAGGGGGUUGGGUUCAGCUUCUGGUUCUGUAUUUUCAAGUUGCUCGGGGCAGUCCUGAAACUCCUCUGUUGGUGAGUUGAUGGCUUCCACUCCCAAUUCAUUAUGAGAUCCUACCACCAACUGGUAUAGUUGGGACUUCACGCAUUUGUGUCCCGGAGUAUACUUGGCAGCGCAUCAAAAACAUAGACCAUUUUUUCUCCUAUCCUCCAUUUCAGCUUGAGACAAGGCUUUGGUAGGGGUUUGAUGGUUGCUUAAAGGGCUUUUCUGAGGGCCAAGAUUUGACGAGGGACCUCCAAGAGUUGGCACAUGACUGAUAGGUUCGGGGUUAGAAAAUAGGGGUUUAGAGUACCCUCCACUCCCUUCAACCAACGGAGGCCUUUUAAUAGUAUGCGUCGAUACAAUACCUUCUACCUGUUUGGCUAACAUAUACGCCUUUACCAAUGUCUGGGUUUGAAUAGUCUGAGGUACUGACCAACUUCUACCUUGAGGUUACUUAUGAAUAUGCUUAAUGCGUAGGGUUCAGGCAAGUGUAACUGGUUGAGGAUACUUACAAACUGAUCGUGGAAUAGGUCCACCGUUCCCUGUUGCUUCAAGGUUACCAGCUUAGUCAUCGGGUCAGUGAAGUUGGAAGGGACGAAUCUCUCUUGCAACCCUCGAGCAUAGGUUUCCCAAGACAACAUUUGAAGUCCACCUUGUCUUUGGCUAAAAAAGUGGUGCCAAUCCAGGGAUUUUCCCUCCAAAUGGAGCAUAACAGUUCGCACCUUGUCCUGUUCCAACACCUUCAUCUUCGAAGAAUUGCUCUAACUUCGACCACCAUCCCUGGAAGUCUUCACCAUCAAACCUCGGGCAGUCAAACUUGAAGUUUCUACCCAUGGAGUAUAAGGUACUAGCCCUUGAAUGUAUGCCUAUAUGACUAGACUCAACCAUAGGUGAUAGCAAAAGUGACUCCUUUGGUGGGAACCCAGGAGGUGUGCCCCCAAGUACCUCUUUUCCCUUGUUCGAUGUCUGUCCCUGAGCAGGUGGUGUCGCACGCCCUAUCUGCUAUUCAAAAAAAUUUUAAAGCUCGGUGCGAAUGCCAAAGUUUACAUUUUUGUGGAACUCUUUGAAUCGGGACUCCAUUCGAGCGUCUAUUUUUGGGCUAAAUUGGUUUGUAGUUGAGUGAGUUCCUGUUGCAUCAGCCCCAUGUCUUUCUGCAUGUUUCCCAUGUCCUUUUGUAACCUCGUGGUGACUCCCUCACCGGCCAUCGAGAGAGGCUCUAAUACCUUUGAUACCGUCGGUAACGUUACUAGAAGAACAAUAAAUGAAGAAGAAAGAAGUAGGAGAGGAAGAGAUGAAAGCAGAUGAGAUAAGAGAAUCAAGAAGGGAGAAUAAUUCAGUUUUUCAUAAUACCCCUCAUGUCUGUCAAUAGAAAUAGGACAAAACUCACGUUUAAAGAAAACAAAACAGACAAACGCAAUGUUUGAUGCAUGAUAGUUAGAAAUUAAAAAUAGUGUGAAAUAAACAGAGUUGAAACCGUGGCCUUCCAUUUUGGUUUGUAUCAGAAGAUAGGAAGAAAAUUCUGAACUUAUCUCCCUGGUUAUUUGACCAUUGUCUUUUUGCAAUGUUGCUCAUUGUCAAAGAUAAAGAGAUGGAAUCUUACGCCUUCAACUUAGCUACUUUUUGGGUAAGAAUCUUUAAUAUACCCUUUGAAUGUAUGGACAGACGAGUAGCUAUGGAUGUGGGCAGUGCUAUAGGGGAAGUUAUUGCCAUCGACUGGCGUGAUAGAGAUGGUUGAUGGACAGAAUAUAUCCAAAUUAGUGUUAUAAUUGAUACUUCCAAACCUCUGCGUAGAGUGGUCCAGUUUGUGAAUAGGGAGGGUUUCAUUUCUGUUUGCACCAUAAAAUAUGAGAGAUUGCCUACUUUCUACUACAAUUGUGGCCUUAUAAGCCAUUCAACACAAAAAUGAGAUAAGAUGGUUAUCCAAAGCAAAUCCAAUGAUACUAGCUAUCAAUAUGGAAAUUGGUUAAAAGCUUAUAUAGGUAUAACUAAUCAGGAUCGAAGAAAUUGGAGAAAUAGGAUUGAAGUUAUUGAAGCUAAAAGAGUAGUGGAAAGUGAGUUGAAUAGAACGACACAAGGAAAUACUGAGCUAAAUGUAUCUGGUGAAAUAAAGGAAAAAGAGAAAAUUAAACUGACUAAAGAAGAGUUGAGAUCGAGUUCACAAAUAGAGAAGUGACCUUUCAAGUUGUCCUGUAUAGUAUAUAGGAAAAUGAGAAAAAAAAAGAAAAGAGGCAACAGGUAGCUGUGGAGAGUUAACCGAAGACAACCCCAGUAGAUCAGGUCGUAGAAAGCUCAUGGAUAGUUUAUCACUUUUAAAGGCAGUGGUUGACGAUCAGCCCAACCAAGAUCAAUGACGUUCCUAUGUUGGAACUAUCGUGGGUUAGGGAACCACGCGACAGUUCGGGAGCUUUAGCAACUCUUAGUUGCAAAUAACCCUGACAUUAUUUUCCUUAGCGAAACUAAAAUGAAAGUUAAUGAUUUUCAACGUGUUCAGAAUAAGUGCAGAAUGCAAAAUGGUUUGGCUGUGAGUUUUGAAGGAAGAACUGGAGAUCUCGCGUUGAUGUGUAGGGAAGGCGUUGAUGUUACCAUUCAAAACUACUCUAAGUUCCAUAUUGACUCCCUGCUUAGGUAUGAAAAUAACAAAAAUGUUCGUUUCACUGGUUUUUAUGGCAACGCGAAUCCGAGUCUUAGAAAUAGUUCGUAGGAUAUGCUAAGAAGAAUCGGUGGGACGGUUGGGGAGGACUGGGUGGUAGGGGGAUUUUAUGCAAUUUUGAAGAAAAACAAUAUUGAAAAACUUAAAGAUUCGAAUGGCAAUUGGGUGACGGGUAUAGAGAUCUUUGCAAUAUUGCUAAAUACUAUUUUUGUAAUUUGUUUCGAUCUAAUAACUAUGUUGAUGAUAUCCAUGUUUUGAACUAUAUCAGUGAGUGUGUUACCAGAGAACCCAAUGAUUGGCUUGAAGAAGAUUACAUAGAGAGUGAGAUCAUCCAACCCAUUAAGCAGAUGGAUCCUAUGAAGGCCCUUGGAGUGGACGGUCUGUUGGGAGUUUUUCCAAGCAUAACUGGGAGAUUGUUGGGAGGGACACUAUUCGGUUUUGCCUUGAUAUUCUUAACGGGAAUAAAUAUGUUUCAUAUUUAAAUGAAACUAUGAUAAUCUUAAUCCCUAAAUUUCGUGAUCCUAAUGACAUCACUAAUUACCGCCCGAUUAGCUUAUGCAAGUUCAUUUAUAAGGUCAUCUCCAAAGUGCUUUCCAACCAUAUCAAAGUUUUCCUCUCUAAUUGAAUAAGUCCAAAUCAGAGCGCGUUUGUCCCUAGAAGAAUGAUACAUGACAACAUUGUGAUUGCUCACGAACUACUCCACUAUCUUCAAAGCUCUAAAAAUGGUCCCAAUAAAGGACUCGUUGUUAAGCUCAAUAUGAGCAAAGCAUAUGACCAAGUGGAGUAGGAAUUCUUAGAGGCGGUAAUAUUGAAGAUGGGUUUCGGUAAUAGUUGAGUUAAAAAAGUCACGAAUUGUGUUUGGACCAUUCGCUAUAUAAUUAAGUGCAACAGAACUUUGUUAGAUAUUAUUUCUCUCGAUAGGGGAUUCGUCAAGGAGAUCCCCUCUCCCCUUAUUUGUUCUUAUUUUGUAUGGAAUCACUCUCAAGAAUGCUUCUUCAUGCUCAAGGUAAUAAUAUUUUACGUGGUAUCGGGGCUAGCAUCAAUGGCCUUAGGAUUAACCACCUCUUUUUUUUGUGGACAAUGCCCUUAUUUUUGUUAAAAAUAAAAAAUUUUAUGUUGUUGCUUUACUUAAUAUUUUAAAGGACUUUACUAAUGUUUCAGGACAAGAGAUAAAUUUUAGUAAGUCUGUGGUUAUUUUUAGCCACAAUACUUCUAAUCCGCAAAGGCAUAGACUUGGCGACUUACUAAGGAUGAAAGU
rnacentral:lncRNA from 1 species